rnacentral:miRNA from 1 species
GCACCCGAGGGCUGUGUGUGUGUGUGUGUGUGUGUGUGUGUGUGUGUGGCGUGUGUCCUGCACUGCUACACCCACA